rnacentral:rRNA from 1 species
GACGAACGCUGGCGGCGUGCCUAAUACAUGCAAGUUGAGCGCUGAAGGUUGGUUCUUGUCCCAACUGGAUGAGCAGCGGACGGGUGAGUCACGCGUGGGUAAUCUGCCUUUGAGCGGGGGACAACAUUAGGAAACGAAUGCUAAUACCGCAUAAAAACUUUAAACACAGGGUUUAAGUUUGAAAGAUGCAAUUGCAUCGCCCAAGGAUGAUCCCUCGUUUUAUUUGCUAGGUGGCGAGGUAAAGGCCCACCCAGGCGAAGGUACAUAGCCGACCUGAGAGGGUGGACGGCCAACUUGGGACCGGGACCACGCCCCAACUUCUUAGGGGAGCAGCCGUAGGGAAUCUUCGGCAAUUGAGGGAAGGCUGACCGCACAACGCCGGGGUAGGUGAGGAAGGUUUCGGGACGGAAAACUCUGUUAGUUGGGAAGAACGUGGGUUAGGGUGGAAAGCUCAUCAAGUGACGGUAACUACACAGAAAGCGACGGCUAACUACGUG